AUUACCGCGGCUGCUGGCACGUAGUUAGCCGGUGCUUAUUCUUCAGGUACCGUCAUUCCCGGACUGUGUUAGAGCCGGUGUUUCUUCCCUGACAAAAGAGCUUUACAACCCGAAGGCCUUCUUCACUCACGCGGCAUUGCUGGAUCAGGGUUUCCCCCAUUGUCCAAAAUUCCCCACUGCUGCA
rnacentral:rRNA from 1 species